rnacentral:rRNA from 1 species
GUGCAGCAGGCGCGAAAACUUCACACUGUGCGAAAGCACGAUGAGGGAAUCCCAAGUGCUUGCACGUAAGUGUAAGCUGUUUCUCUGUCUAAAACGCAGAGAGAGUAAGGGCUGGGUAAGACGGGUGCCAGCCGCCGCGGUAAUACCUGCAGCUCAAGUGGUGACCGUUAUUAUUGGGCCUAAAACGUCCGUAGCCGGUUUAAUAAAUGCCUGGGUAAAUUGUGUAGCUUAACUAUACGAAUUCCGGGUAAACUGUUAAACUUGAGACCGGGAGAAGUUAGAGGUACUCCUGGGGUAGAGGUGAAAUUCUGUAAUCCGUAGGGGGACCACCAGUGGCGAAGGCGUCUAACUAGAACGGGUCUGACGGUGAGGGACGAAGCCCUGGGGCGCG